rnacentral:rRNA from 1 species
UACGGUAGGGUGCAAGCGUUGUCCGGAAUCACUGGGCGUAAAGGGCGCGUAGGCGGCUCAUGAAGGCUGUGGUGAAAGUCCGGGGCUCAACCUCGGAUCGGCCGUGGCGACUCGUGGGCUGGAGCACUGUAGAGGCGGGUGGAAUUCCGGGUGUAGCGGUGGAAUGCGUAGAGAUCGGGAAGAACAUCAGUGGCGAAGGCGGUCUGCUGGGCCGUUGCUGACGCUGAGGCGCGACAGCGGUGGGGAGCAAACAGG